rnacentral:rRNA from 1 species
AUUGAACGCUAGCGGGAUGCCUUACACAUGCAAGUCGAACGAGUGGCGGACGGGUGAGUAAUGUCUGGGAAAGUGCCCGAUGGAGGGGGAUAACUCCUGGAAACGGUAGCUAAUACCGCAUACCACCGGACGUGCCCAGAGGGGAGUAGCUAGGAGGUGGGGUAACGGCUCACCUAGGCGACGAUCCCUAACUGGUCUGCGCGGAUGACCGACCACACUGGGACUGAGACACGUUCCAGACGCCUACGGUGGGGAGCAGUGGGGAAGAUUGCACAAUGGUCGCAAGCCUGAGGCAGCCAUGCCGCGUGUAUGAAGAAGGCCUUAGGGUUGUAAAGUACUUUCAGCGAGGAGGCGUUACUCGCAGAAGAAGCACCGGCUAACUACGUGCCAGCAGCCGCGGUAAUUC